CCUACGGGCGGCAGCAGUGAGGAAUAUUGGUCAAUGGGCGGAAGCCUGAACCAGCCAAGUAGCGUGCGGGAUGAAGGCCCUACGGGUCGUAAACCGCUUUUGCACGGGGAUAACACCCUCCACUUGUGGAGGUCUGCAGGUACCGUGCGAAUAAGGGCCGGCUAAUUCCGUGCCAGCAGCCGCGGUAAUACGGAAGGCCCGAGCGUUAUCCGGAUUCAUUGGGCUUAAAGGGAGCGUAGGCGGAGGGUCAAGUCAGCGGUAAAAUUGCGGGGCUCAACCCCGUCGUGCCGUUGAAACUGACGCCCUUGAGUGAGUGAGAAGCAAGCGGAAUGCGUGGUGUAGCGGUGAAAUGCAUAGAUAUCACGCAGAACGCCGAUUGCGAAGGCAGCCUACCGGCGCUCAACUGACGCUGAGGCACGAAAGUGCGGGUAUCGAACAGGAUUAGAUACCCUUGUAGUC
rnacentral:rRNA from 1 species